UGGGGAAUAUUGCACAAUGGGCGCAAGCCUGAUGCAGCCAUGCCGCGUGUGUGAAGAAGGCCUUCGGGUUGUAAAGCACUUUCAGCGGGGAGGAAGGCGAUAAGGUUAAUAACCUUGUCGAUUGACGUUACCCGCAGAAGAAGCACCGGCUAACUCCGUGCCAGCAGCCGCGGCAAUACGGAGGGUGCAAGCGUUAAUCGGAAUUACUGGGCGUAAAGCGCACGCAGGCGGUCUGUCAAGUCGGAUGUGAAAUCCCCGGGCUCAACCUGGGAACUGCAUUCGAAACUGGCAGGCUCGAGUCUUGUGGAGGGGGGUAGCAUACCAGGUGUAGCGGUGUAAUGCGUAGAGAUCUGGAGGAGUACCGGGGGCGAAGGCGGCCCCCUGGACAAAGACUGACGCUCAGGUGCGAAAGCGUGGGGAGCAAACAGG
rnacentral:rRNA from 1 species